CACACACACACAGACACACACACACACACAGACACACACACAGACACACACACACACAGACACACACACACACAGACACACACACAGACACACCCACAGCCCCCUGUAACAAACACAAAACCUUCUUCACUCAGCUGGUUUUCCUGACCGUUAACUCCAUGUGCCUCCUUUUGUAUCAACAGUCAUCAGAUCGGUUAGAUUAGAUUCACUUUUAUUGUCAUUGAACAAAGUAACAGGUUCUUGGACAACAAAAUGUAAUUUAUCUUCUGUAAAUUAUUUACAAAUUAGCGAUAAACUUUACCAACAGAGACACACGUACACACUACACAGGUACGCAGUUUAUUUGUCGUGCUGCUUUUUUUGUUUCACGCAGUUAAUAAACAGACAGAACUGCUUGUGUCUUGUGGAAGAACAUUGUAACCGGUGCUACCUCUCUCCGUUUAUGACUAUGGACGAGCCACCCAGGUCCUGUGCUGCUCCACAGCGGCGGCGACCCGCUGGACUAAAAUAGAGGAUGACACCAUUUGCUAAGGGAGAUGUUUACAUUUUCAUCCUUAACACAUACAUUUUUAACCACAAACUACUGAGUGUGUUUUGGACAUUUACUCUUGUAAAAGAUGAACAAAAAUUUUAGAAUAACAACAUUUCUUACUCCAAGUUUUAGUGGUGCUGAGCUCCUUUUUAGGGGUGCUGAAGGCGAAGCAAUCCUAAAAAGGGGCUAGCGCCCAUGGCUAAAAGUAACUUUUUAGUUACUUUUUUAAAGAAUGUUUUUAAUGUUCCAAUUAAUGUCCUUUUAUGCGUUGGUCAGUGGUGUAGUUGGGGCCAUACGCACGUAUACGCAGUAUGCUUACUUUUUCCACAGGGCUGAUUGCGUAUAACGACUUCUAUGGCUUAAUAUUAGCGUAUACCCGGUGGUAUACACACUUGUUUUGCUGCUUAAAACAUCCAUAAUUUACCCUCGUCUUUUCUUCCCCUUUAACUGCAUCGCAUUUUUUUAUCUCCCAACACUUCAUUGUAAUUGGUUAAUUUUUAUUUGAAUCCCCCCUCCCUCCCCCGACAGAUGUCGUGUACCAACUUCACCGAGCGUUUACAGGGAGGAGAGUUUACUUCAUCAACAGAAGCUGGUGUCAUGCUUAAGCAGACUUAAUAAUGUAGAGAAGCAGCUACAACACAAUUCUCCUCAAAAUCAGCUUUCCGUUGGACAAAAUACACAAAUCUCUACGUGCAGCCGACUGACAGACAGGGGACCAUCUGCAAAGUGCAAAACCCGAAAAGCGAAUACUAAAAAACAGUCAAUAACUUCACUGUAAUACACUGUACUGUCACCAGCUCACACAUCACUGAUAGUUAUAC